UUUGGGCAUGUGACUGCAGAGGAGGCCUAACCAUCAGAACUUCAGCUGCGGUUCAUAAGUCUCCUUUUGCAGAACAGGAACUGUCUCCUGCCUGUCCCUAGUUGAAGCAAGUCAACUCUGUGAUCCCCCGAUUAAUGCUCCAUGAAGCAGCCGCCACGUCAACCGUCGGGACGAAGCGAUGAGGAGGAAAGAUGUACGGCAUUAAUCUGGACUCAGGUCACCUGGAAAGGAAGAUUAUACAUUCGCCGUGGGAUUAAGCAGCAGCUGCUGAAUCGUAAAGGAAGGGCCCGAUAAGCAAAUAUUAAUUCUGGCUGUAAUAAUAGGGGGAACAGAUUACUGAAGGAUAAAGCUGCUCGUUCGAACGGCUCCCCUGCUGCAAAAGCCCAUCCAGCAGGGAGUCAAUAUUCACUCCGCUGAGAAUGCUACAAUUAAGGCUGCAAAGGUUUCCUCUCGGUUUUCCCAUGUUUCGAAAAAGAUCUGCAGCGUUGCCUUGCAGGAGAAUAAAUUAACACACACAUA